CAACUACUCCCUCUGUUCCAAAUUUCUUGUCUUAGAUUUGUCUAGAUACGGAUGUAUCUAAUACUAAAAUGUGACUUGAUACAUCCGUAUCUAGACAAAUCUAAGACACGAAUUUUGGGACGGAGGGAGUACUUU
rnacentral:pre_miRNA from 1 species